rnacentral:rRNA from 1 species
CUGCCAGACUCCUACGGGAGGCAGCAGUGGGGAAUAUUGCACAAUGGGGGAAACCCUGAUGCAGCAACGCCGCGUGAGUGAAGAAGUAUUUCGGUAUGUAAAGCUCUAUCAGCAGGGAAGAAAAUGACGGUACCUGAGUAAGAAGCCCCGGCUAACUACGUGCCAGCAGCCGCGGUAAUACGUAGGGGGCAAGCGUUAUCCGGAUUUACUGGGUGUAAAGGGAGCGUAGACGGCGAUGCAAGUCUGAAGUGAAAGCCCGGGGCUCAACCCCGGGACUGCUUUGGAAACUGUAUGGCUGGAGUGCUGGAGAGGCAAGCGGAAUUCCUAGUGUAGCGGUGAAAUGCGUAGAUAUCAGGAGGAACACCGGUGGCGAAGGCGGCCUGCUGGACUGUAACUGACACUGAGGCUCGAAAGCGUGGGGAGCAAACAGGAUUAGAUACCCUAGUAGA